rnacentral:tRNA from 1 species
GCRMWRGUGGCGGAAUUGGUAGACGCGCUAGCUUCAGGUGUUAGUGUUCUUACGGACGUGGGGGUUCAAGUCCCCCCCCUCGCACCA